rnacentral:misc_RNA from 1 species
ACUUUCCCUUCUUUCCCAGCUCCAUAAAUGCCACAAUCUAUCCCAUCUCUCAGGCAAACAAAUCAAACGCAAAGAAAUUUCAAUUAUUUACAGCUUUCACGAUGCAUAAGAGUCCUUCAGGAUCACUGGGCCCAGGCGGGCUUGACCUGAGCCAGGUCUUCUUCAAGCCUAUCCACAACACUGCUGCGCCUUCCCCCACCAAGCGCCAUACCAAAAUCUCCG